rnacentral:tRNA from 1 species
GUCCCUGUAGCGCAAUGUGUAGCGCGUUGGACUUCUAAUCCAAAGGUCGUGGGUUCGAAUCCCACCUGGAAUG